rnacentral:tRNA from 1 species
GCCGCAGUAGCUCAGCUGGUAGAGCAACGCAUUCGUAAUGCGUAGGUCGGGGUUCGAAUCCCUUCUGCGGCACCA